AGAGAGAGAGAGAGAGAGAGAGAGAGAGGAGGGGGAUGACAUCGACGGUGCUGCGCGGGUCCGCCUUCCGCCGUGCCAUCCCAGCGGCGGCCGCCGCUAGGCUUUCAGGAGUAGAGGGAGUAGCGGUCGCGCUCCGGCCCUCACACAGCCGUCGGCUGCAUUCCUCUACUCGAGCUGAUUUGCCUCCCAAGUCUCCACUAGACGAGCUCUUUGAAUGCUCGUAGGGAGUUUGUCCCGAAGGAAGUGCAGAGGACAUGGAUGAUUUGUGCUGCAACAGUAGGUGGUUUUUUCGCUGGAUUAUUAAUAACAAGGAAGAUGGAUAACAAGAGAAAGAGAGAGCUCGGGAAUGUAAUUUAUGAGAACCUCGCGAAGUAGAGAGUUUAUUGAACUUUUGGACCAGAAUAUUUUUAAACAAAGCCACCAAGUCCCCUAGAUGUCAUCCACGUCAAGACUUGAAGAACACACAAAAAAUACCAAGGUGAUGAGUUGAAGAGAAAAAUAUACCGACUUGUAGACUUCUGGUACCAACAAUGUGGUUGCUUCUACACAUCCACAGUACAAAUGGACUGAUCCAUAGCCAUGAACAUAGAGGCAUUUACACUCAAUGAACACAUAGCCCAGACAAAAAUUAAGUACAUUCUUCGGUGCUCCUGGAAGCCAGAAUUUUGGUAUGCACAGAACAAACAUGAAGCGCAGAUGGUGCAGCAACAGAAGUACGUAAUGAGACUCAAUAGUUUGAUGGUGCAACAAUUGUGUGAAUGUGCAAAAUUCUUGACAUAGUGUAUUAGUCCUUUGUUCCUGCAAACACACGAAGAUCAUAGUUUUUUUUUAUUUUCAAAGAUCAAGGUGAUCAUUGGGAAUUAAAUACUGUACA